UCAUUCUCAUCAAAGAGUCAAGGGAGCAGCUUGGCAACUCAGCUGCAGCCUUUUCAGAGUUCGUUCAAAAACACUAGGGUUUCAGAAAAAUUCAAUCUUCAGAGUACUGAAUCAUCAUAAAGGAAGAUUUAACGAUAAGGGUUGUUCAGAUCGGUGUCUGUAAAACAUCUGGUUCUGCAUGGAUUUGUAUUUCAGCACUGCUUACAUAAUUUUUUGUCAUGUGACAGUUCUAUUUUCUUAUAGAAACUAAACAUGCCCAAGGAGAGAAGAGAUAGGUCUGUUUCUUUUGAUAGGAGCAGAGCUUCUCCUUAUUCUUGUAGUUCGAGUCACUCAAGGCAAUCGUUGUCCAAAAACCCUUUGGAAAAUGAGGAAAAUGUGAAGGACUGGGAAGAUGCUCGAUGCCCAGUGUGUAUGGAACAUCCUCAUAAUGCUAUUCUCCUUCUGUGUGCCUCUCAUGAGAAGGGCUGUCGUCCUUUUAUGUGUGACACAAGUUAUAGGCAUUCAAAUUGUUUUGAUCAGUUCAAAAAGUCGUUUGAAGAAGCUUCAGCAUCAACAACACAGCAAGUGGAGAUCCCAACUUCAGCUUCGAUUACGGAAUCUACUGUAGUGUUAUCAGAAGCUCUGUCUGAACUGCCAGGUGAAAGAACUGAAGGUGGUUCUAUAUCCCUAGAUGCCUUGUCUUGCGAGAACCAUGAAAUAAAGAAGAUGCUAUGCCCUCUCUGCCGUGGCCAGAUAAAUGAUUGGAUUGUUGUAGACUCUGCCCGCUGUCACAUGAAUGCUAAAUUAAGAAGCUGCUCUAGUGAGACAUGCGAGUUCAGUGGCACAUAUACAGAUUUGCGUAAGCAUGCUAGGCAGGAGCAUCCUCUUGUACGUCCUACAGAAGCUGACCCAGAGAGGCAGCGCAGUUGGAGGAGGCUGGAACGACAGAGAGAUUUAGGAGAUCUGCUCAGUACAUUGCAGUCAUCUGUUUCAGAAGAGGGUAGUGAAAGCACCAGUUUAACCUUCGAUGAAGGUGGUUUGCUGACUGUUUUUCUCUUUGUUCGGAUUCUCCAACCUAGGAGUAAUUCUCGGAGUAGUAGCUGGUCAGGUUCCUCAAGAACUCGGGCUCAGGCAACUGGGAGGAGACGACCUUCAAGAAGACUUUGGGGUGAAACCUAUGAAGGGGAAAUUGAUACUAGAGAAGACGAGAAUGAAGACUCUGACGGAGGGUCAGGGCCCCGGAGACGCCUGCGUCGACAACCAACACCAGAAAAUUAGUUCUGGCUGCAAACAUGUGUUUGCUUGCUGUUCCUUUUGAAUGUUACCGCUGUAGGUGGAGGGAACCUCGUGGUCCAAAAUAUGUCGUGCUGAAGCUCUGGGGAAUCGAUUCUUGGAUACAAGAUUCAGAAGGAGUGGAAAUGAAGGAUUGUGUUUGGUUAGUAGUAUAACUUGUAUACAUGUCUUUCUUGAUGAAAUCUCAUCUCAGCCUGUGUGCUAUGCAAAUGCUUUAAAUCUAUUUUUUACUUGAAUUGAUAAAGUUGGAAAGCAAUUUGCUAGUUUUGCUUCUUGUCUUAUGAAUAAACCCCAAUACUGCAAGCAAAAUAUUAU